GUGAACUUGUGGUGGGCAUUGUUUCUUGGACUGUGGAGCACAUGGAUCCUUAGUUUGGGGUAUAAACGACAGGGGGUUGCUGACAGGUUUGCUUCACUUGCUGCUGCUGGGCUUUCUGGGGCAGGUGCUCUCUCCACUGCUGCUGCAGGAACAGGGGAGCCUAAAAGAAACCUAGGCAGUGGACACCAUGAGAAGUGUUCCCUCCACCAUCCCUACCUUCUGACUUCUAAAGCAAUGUUUCCUUACAAUGGCCAAGGACAUGAUAAGUGAUUAAUUGCCUCUAAUUGGUCAGUGAAUUGACUCACAUGCACCCAUUGUGAUCCUCUCCCUUUCAUUCUUCUUCUAUGCUAUUCUGACUUCAUUUCCUGUCUUCCUUCAUCCUCCCAUAGACUCCUGAUUUAACUGAAUAUAUAAUUGAUUUCUCAGUCUGCCCAGGAAACAAGAUGAAAUGCUGAGUUGAGGAUAAAAAGAUAGCGCAAACAUUUUAUAAGAUUGAGGCAUGAAGUCUUGGUUGAUGGGUGUGCAAUGUCAACUGGCUGCCUUGAGUAGUGCAGACAAAUAGGACAGGAGCUUGCCUAGUGGCUGGAGACAGUUUGAGAAGGAGUAAGGGCCCAGCAGGUCCCAGUAGGAAGAAUCCAAUCCCACUUACCAGAAGUGCAAGCAGGACCUCAGGAGAGGAGGCUGGGCACAGGAAGCUUUCCCUUGAGCACGAAGGACAAGAAUACAAAUGGUCACCCACAGGCUCACUGCCCCUGACCUGCCCCACCUCCCAGGAAUCGGCUGCUGGGCCAACCAGGAAACCAGGCUCUGCAUCUUGCCUCCCUAGGGAACAGACACCUGAGAGCAGGCAAAAAUCUAAGGACCUCAGAAGGGACUCUUCUCACCCCAACAGCCUCCUAAGCUGGAUCAUGUUAUCCUCAGAAGGAGGGAUCAUCUACUUCUGGAGUCAGUGCCUUUCCAAGUUUCCCUUGCUGGCUCAAGAUGGUGGUGUGGUUUGACGACGACAAAACGAUGCCCUGAUCAUACAGAACAGACUUUUUGUGGUGGAUUCAGCUACCUCAAGAGUGUAUAUACAGGAACAACUGGGCGGCUCAGUUGGCUAAAUGUCUGACUCUUGAUCUCAAAGUUGUGAGUUUAAGCCCCAUGUUGGGCAUCACAAAGUAUUACGCAGUACUGCUUCUACCACCAGGGGACAGGAAAAGGAAUGGGUAAUCUAGAAGCCACUAAUAAAACUAAACGCUUAUCUGAG
rnacentral:lncRNA from 1 species